rnacentral:rRNA from 1 species
AUUGAACGCUGGCGGCAGGCCUAACACAUGCAAGUCGGACGGUAGCACAGAGGAGCUCGCUCCUCGGGUGACGAGUGGCGGACGGGUGAGUAAUGUCUGGGGAUCUGCCCGAUAGAGGGGGAUAACCACUGGAAACGGUGGCUAAUACCGCAUGACGUCGCAAGACCAAAGAGGGGGACCUUCGGGCCUCUCACUAUCGGAUGAACCCAGAUGGGAUUAGCUAGUAGGCGGGGUAACGGCCCACCUAGGCGACGAUCCCUAGCUGGUCUGAGGGGAUGACCAGCCACACUAGAACUGAGACACGGUCCAGACUCCUACGGGAGGCAGCAGUGGGGAAUAUUGCACAAUGGGCGCAAGCCUGAUGCAGCCAUGCCGCGUGUAUGAAGAAGGCCUUCGGGUUGUAAAGUACUUUCAGCGGGGAGGAAGGCGAUGUGGUUAAUAACCGCGUCGAUUGACGUUACCCGCAGAAGAAGCACCGGCUAACUCCGUGCCAGCCGCCGCCGUAAUAC